GACGAACGCUGGCGGCGUGCCUAAUACAUGCAAGUCGAACGCAGUGGGGACGGGUGAGUAACACGUGGGUAACCUCCCAUCAGAGGGGAUAACACUUGGAAACAGGUACUAAACCGAUACUGAUGGAUGGACGCGCGGUGCAUUACCUAGUUGGUGAGGUAACGGCUCACCAAGGCCACGAUGCAUAGCCGACCCUAGAGGGUGAUCGGCCACACUGGGGCUGAGAAACGGCCCCGACUCCUACGGGAGGCAGCAGUAGGGAAACUUCGGCCAUGGACGAAAGGCCGACCGAGCAACGCCGGGGUAGAUAAGAAGGUUUUCGGAGCGUAAAACUCUGUUGUUAGAGAAGCGGUAUCUAACCAGAAAGCCACGGCUAACUACGUGCCAGCAGCCGCGGUAAUUC
rnacentral:rRNA from 1 species